UAGAAAAAUUUGGCAACAUUUUGAAAGUUUUUAAAGCCCUCCACAAACGCCCACUGGGCAGCCCUAUUGUAAUGUCUCUCUGCGAAUGGGGUCAAGUGUGUAUAUGGCUCUCAAGUGCUCAAGGCGGUAUGAGCAGCACGGCUCAAGCGGCCAAAAGAAAACAAUAAACUGUGGGCCAAAAAAAAAACAAAA